rnacentral:rRNA from 1 species
UAAACCGCUUUUCUCAGGGAAGAAGUACUGACGGUACCUGAGGAAUCAGCAUCGGCUAACUCCGUGCCAGCAGCCGCGGUAAUACGGAGGAUGCAAGCGUUAUCCGGAAUUAUUGGGCGUAAAGCGUCCGCAGGCGGCUGUUCAAGUCUGCUGUCAAAGCCUGGGGCUUAACCUCGGAUAGGCAGUGGAAACUGAGUAGCUAGAGUGCGG